UACAGGAAAGGAGCGUUACUCACCUUGUGCAGUAACUGGAGUUCUUUGAGAUGUGUCCCCCAGUGAGAGCUCCAUUUCCGGUGCAUGUGUCUCUGCACCCUUGAUCUGAGAUUUUUGGUAGCAGUGCUUGUUCGGCCCACGCAUGUGCCUCCUCGCAUCCUUGCACCCCGCACUGAGGAUAUAUAGGUCUGUGAGGCGAACGACCUGUAGCUCCUUCUCUAUCAUAACGUCCCACAAGGUAAAACUUCAAAGCAGAGGGGAAGGAGGGCAAGUAGUGGAGCACCCACAGGGAAACAUAUCUGGAAGAACGCCAGUUACUGCACAAGGUAGUUAAGGACAGCGGAUAGAGAAGAGUGAUCUGGAGAAAAUUGUUGAAGGAUACACCAGUGAUGAAAUCUCUUCUGUUUCUGAAGGAAUGUACCUGUUGGACAAUCAAAGGAGUUGCUCCAUUCCUAUGGACCCC